GCCGAAGUGGUGGAAUUGGUAGACACGCCGUCUUGAGGGGGCGGUGGCGCGAGCCGUGCCGGUUCGAGUCCGGCCUUCGGCACCA
rnacentral:tRNA from 1 species